ACGGGGCGCAGCAGGCGCGAAACCUCCUCAAUGCACUAACGUGCGAAGGGGUUACCUCGAGUGCCACCUGAAGAAGGUGGCUUUUCCUUGGUCUAAAAAGCCUCGGGAAUAAGAGGGGGGCAAGACUGGUGUCAGCCGCCGCGGUAACACCAGCCCCUCGAGUGGUGGGGAUGAUUAUUUGGCCUAAAGCGUCCGUAGCCGGCCGUAUAAGUUUCCCGUUAAAUCCAACGUCUCAAGCGUUGGACUGCGGGAAAUACUGUACGGCUAGAGAGUGGGAGAGGUCAGCGGUAUUCUGGGGGUAGGGGCGAAAUCCUUUGAUCCCCGGAGGACCACCAGUGGCGAAGGCUGCUGACUAAAACACGUCUGACGGUCAGGGACGAAAGCUGGGGUAGCGAACCGGAUUAGAUACCCGGGUAGUCCCAGCCGUAAACGAUGCAUGCUAGGUGUUGGGUUGGCCACGAGCCACCCCAGUGCCGCAGGGAAGCCGUUAAGCAUGCCGCCUGGGAAGUACGAUCGCAAGAUUGAAAUUUAAAGGAAUUGGCGGGGGAGCAC
rnacentral:rRNA from 1 species